rnacentral:rRNA from 1 species
AACGUAGGACGCAAGCGUUAUCCGGAGUUACUGGGCGUAAAGCGCGGGCAGGCGGCUCUGCAAGUCUGAUGUGAAAGCGCUCGGCUCAACCGGGCGAGGCCAUUGGAAACUGCAGAGCUGGAGGGCAGCAGAGGUCGGCGGAAUUCCGGGUGGAGUGGUGAAAUGCGUAGAGAUCCGGAGGAACACCAGAGGCGAAGGCGGCCGACUGGGCUGCGCCUGACGCUGGGCCGCGAAAGCCAGGGGAGCGAACGGG